rnacentral:lncRNA from 1 species
UGACUAUAAAUACAGAAUUCGGAGAAGCAGUUGCCUCUGGAGUGGGAGAGGCACGGGCAGGAGGUGGGCUGGGCAGCAGUGACAGGCAUGUCACCAAAUCAGCUCACGCUCACUUGCGGGCUGAUGACUGUGGGACCAAGGAUUACAGUGAAUCCAAUUUCGUAUGUCUGGGGCCUUUUACAAAAUGAAACCUGGAGUUCCUGUCAUGGCAUCAGUGGAAACAAACCCGACUAGGAUCCAUGAGGUUGCAGGUUCAACCCCUGGCAUCACUCAGUGGGUUAAGGAUCCAGCAUUGCUGUGACCUGUGGUGUAGGUUGCAGACACGGCUCAGAUCCCGAGUUGCUGUGGCUCUGGCGUAGGCUGGCAGCUGUAGCUCUGAUUCCACCCCUGGCCUGGGAAUCUCCACAUCUCCACAUGCCUCUAGUGCAGCCCUGAAAAGAAAAAAAAAGAAAAGAAAAAAAGAAACCCUAAGUUUUUAAGACCAUAAAGAGUACCAUUUACCUUUUAUCUGCUCUAGUACAUGACCGACACAUAAGGUUUUUGUCAAAUUGUAUUGAACCAAAUUGAAUGGAUUCUUAUCCAACUGGGUUAAGGUGGAGAAUAAUGGAGUUGCCGUCGUGGCUCAGUGGAAACGAAUCUGACUAGCAUCCAGGAGGACAAAGGUUCGAUCCCUGGUCUUGCUCAGUGGGUUAAGGAUCUGGCAUUGCCGUGAACUGCGGUGUAGGUCACAGACAUAGCUCAGAUCCUGAGUUGCUAUAGCUGUGGUGUAGGCCAGCCACUACAGCUCCAACUUGACCCCUAGCCUGGGAACCUCCAUAUACAACGGGUGCGGCCCUAAAAAAAAAAAAAAAAGUUGGAGACUAACACAAGUUCACGGCAGAAGCGCUCAAUCCCAGGGCUAGGAUUCUACAUCCCUCCAAAGAGCCAAACCUGAAUAGGAGAUAAUGGAAUGUACUGGAGUCUUUUAUCUUCUUUCUUCCCAUCUUAUCAGCACAUACUCACUGGCCACCUGGCAGAGGGUGACCCGCUCUCUUGCCCAGAUCAGGAAGAAGCCAGCAGGUGCACGUCCCAGGUAUCCGCCUUUCCAGCCUCACACCUGCUCUCCCGUGGGCAGGACUGUGGGGAAGCCCGUCACACCUACUCUCUGACUCCGUGACUUUGGGGCAGUCGGUGCAGCUCCCUGGGCAUCUGUUUUCAUACUGGUGAAACGCUCUGCUGUUAGGGAGGGAAAGACCUUCGGAGAAUUAUUGGGGCUUCUCCAGAAAGACAUCCAUCCAUAUUCCCCACAUGGGAAGUGAUAACUUGACCUGGUGGUAUGCGAAUUGCACAAGAGAGAAGCAUGGAGAAGUGGUUUUGAUAGACUUAAAUAGGAUUUUAAAACAGCUACCAUCACCAUUAGCCACAUAAGAGGGUUUUUUGCAGCUUGAUGGUGUUAGUACUUAGAUUUUCAUCUUGGAAAAAAAAAAAA